rnacentral:rRNA from 1 species
GACGAACGCUGGCGGCGUGCUUAACACAUGCAAGUCGAACGGAAAGGCCCUGCUUUUGUGGGGUGCUCGAGUGGCGAACGGGUGAGUAACACGUGAGUAACCUGCCCUUGACUUUGGGAUAACUUCAGGAAACUGGGGCUAAUACCGGAUAGGAGCUCCUGCUGCAUGGUGGGGGUUGGAAAGUUUCGGCGGUUGGGGAUGGACUCGCGGCUUAUCAGCUUGUUGGUGGGGUAGUGGCUUACCAAGGCUUUGACGGGUAGCCGGCCUGAGAGGGUGACCGGCCACAUUGGGACUGAGAUACGGCCCAGACUCCUACGGGAGGCAGCAGUGGGGAAUAUUGCACAAUGGGCGGAAGCCUGAUGCAGCAACGCCGCGUGCGGGAU